rnacentral:rRNA from 1 species
AGGAAUAUUGGUCAAUGGGCGAGAGCCUGAACCAGCCAAGUAGCGUGAAGGAUGACUGCCUUAUGGGUUGUAAACUUCUUUUAUAAAGGAAUAAAGUCGGGUAUGGAUACCCGUUUGCAUGUACUUUAUGAAUAAGGAUCGGCUAACUCCGUGCCAGCAGCCGCGGUAAUACGGAGGAUCCGAGCGUUAUCCGGAUUUAUUGGGUUUAAAGGGAGCGUAGAUGGAUGUUUAAGUCAGUUGUGAAAGUUUGCGGCUCAACCGUAAAAUUGCAGUUGAUACUGGCAGUCUUGAGUGCAGUAGAGGUGGGCGGAAUUCGUGGUGUAGCGGUGAAAUGCUUAGAUAUCACGAAGAACUCCGAUUGCGAAGGCAGCUCACUGGAGUGUAACUGACGCUGAUGCUCGAAAGUGUGGGUAUCAAACAGGAUUAGAUACCCUGGUAGUCCACACAGUAAACGAUGAAUACUCGCUGUUUGCGAUAUACAGUAAGCGGCUUAGCGAAAGCGUUAAGUAUUCCGCCUGGGGAGUACGCCGGCAACGGUGAAACUCAAAGGAAUUGACGGGGGCCCGCACAAGCGGAGGAACAUGUGGUUUAAUUCGAUGAUACGCGAGGAACCUUACCCGGGCUUGAAUUGCAACUGAAUGAUGUGGAGACAUGUCAGCCGCAAGGCAGUUGUGAAGGUGCUGCAUGGUUGUCGUCAGCUCGUGCCGUGAGGUGUCGGCUUAAGUGCCAUAACGAGCGCAACCCUUAUCGAUAGUUACCAUCAGGUUAUGCUGGGGACUCUGUCGAGACUGCCGUCGUAAGAUGUGAGGAAGGUGGGGAUGACGUCAAAUCAGCACGGCCCUUACGUCCGGGGCUACACACGUGUUACAAUGGGGGGUACAGAAGGCAGCUACACGGCGACGUGAUGCUAAUCCCGGAAGCCUCUCUCAGUUCGGAUUGGAGUCUGCAACCCGACUCCAUGAAGCUGGAUUCGCUAGUAAUCGCGCAUCAGCCACGGCGCGGUGAAUACGUUCCCG